AUGGCUUGUGUUACGUCUGUCAGAUACUCAGUGAAGUUUAAUGGCAGGUUACUGGAAUCAUUUUCCCCCUCAAGGGGCUUGCGGCAAGGUGACCCCCUGUCCCCCUUUUUGUUCUUAUUUGUGGCUGAUGCCCUUUCUUCCUUGAUCAGUAAAUCUAUGCGAGAGGAGGGCUUGCAAGGGGUGAAUAUUUGUCGCGGGGCUCCUGUGAUUUCUCAUCUUCUCUUCGCGGAUGAUUCGCUGUUAUUUUUUCAUGCAACCGAACAGCAAGCGGCACUGGUAAAAGAUUUGUUGAACACCUUCGCAAUGGCCACGGGCCAGUUGAUAAACCCUUCGAAGUGUUCCAUUCUUUUUUCAGACAAUUGCUUGGAGGCUACAGCGGCGAAUAUCAAGAGCUUGUUGGAGAUCACUCAGGAAGUGUUUGAGCCUAGAUACCUAGGUCUUCCUGUUCCAGAAGGGAGGAUGCACAAAGGCAAGUUUGAAACAAUACAAGAACUCCUGAGGAAGAGACUAAUUGAUUGGAAUGAGAAAUAUAUGUCAUCAGGUAACAAAGAAAUCUUAAUAAAAUCCGUAGCUCAAGCUAUUCCAGCUUAUGUUAUGAGUGUGUUCAAGCUGCUAGCCUCGGUUUGUGAUGAGCUCACCCGUAUGAUGCGUCAAUACUGA
rnacentral:rRNA from 1 species